GGAUUAGAUACCCUGGUAGUCCAUGCUGUAAACGAUGAGAACUAACCGUUAGGUUCUUAGAAACUUAGUGGUACAGCUAACGCAAUAAGUUCUCCGCCUGGGGAGUACGGCCGCAAGGCUAAAACUCAAAUGAAUUGACGGGAGCCCGCACAAGCGGUGGAGCAUGUGGUUUAAUUCGAUGCAACGCGAAGAACCUUACCUACACUUGACAUCCUGCGAACUUUCUAGAGAUAGAUUGGUGCCUUCGGGAGCGCAGUGACAGGUGCUGCAUGGCUGUCGUCAGCUCGUGCCG
rnacentral:rRNA from 1 species